AGCGCAGUCAACCGCCGAAUGGUGGCGCACAGCGCUCGCUUAAGCGGGAAGGAAGGGAGGUGCUGGACUUGCAGUGAUUGGCAGGCAGAAGUGGGGCGGAGAUAAGGCAGGUUUUCUGAGAGAUGAUUGGCUGAAUUGGCUGCGGGGGCGGGAGAAGAGAAGACUCGGCCGGGGAUUCGUGGAAGUGGAGCGGAAGUCGACCGCUAAAUUUGUUGAGCAGAGUGUGAAGAGAAAGUAGCAGCGUUUGCGGCAUCGGCGUCUGUCAGCAGGUAUAAUGCUUCACACAUUGGUAAUGAAGAAGCAGCAAUGAUUGCUUUAUGGGAGCCUUGUAUGGUCCGUGGCGCCCAUGUAUGGUCUAUUGUUUGUCUCUGGAUUGUAAAAAGCUGCUCUGGUGGCCCGCCCACCCCGGCUGGGGGAUGCACACGUACAUGGAGAAGUCCUGGCUGC